AAACUCACCACCUGGCCGUGGACACCUGUGUCAGCAUGUGGGACCUGGUUCUCUCCAUCGCCUUGUCUGUGGGGUGCACUGGUGCCGUGCCCCUCAUCCAGUCUCGGAUUGUGGGAGGCUGGGAGUGUGAGAAGCAUUCCCAACCCUGGCAGGUGGCUGUGUACAGUCAUGGAUGGGCACACUGUGGGGGUGUCCUGGUGCACCCCCAGUGGGUGCUCACAGCUGCCCAUUGCCUAAAGAAGUAAGUAGGACCCUGGGAUCUGGGGAGGGAAUGGCUGUGUCCCACAGGAAUAACAGCGGGAUGCUUCCCCCAGGGUCACUUCUCAGGAAUAGCCAGGUCUGGCUGGGUCGGCACAACCUGUUUGAGCCUGAAGACACAGGCCAGAGGGUCCCUGUCAGCCACAGCUUCCCACACCCGCUCUACAAUAUGAGCCUUCUGAAGCAUCAAAGCCUUAGACCAGAUGAAGACUCCAGCCAUGACCUCAUGCUGCUCCGCCUGUCAGAGCCUGCCAAGAUCACAGAUGUUGUGAAGGUCCUGGGCCUGCCCACCCAGGAGCCAGCACUGGGGACCACCUGCUACGCCUCAGGCUGGGGCAGCAUCGAACCAGAGGAGUUCUUGCGCCCCAGGAGUCUUCAGUGUGUGAGCCUCCAUCUCCUGUCCAAUGACAUGUGUGCUAGAGCUUACUCUGAGAAGGUGACAGAGUUCAUGUUGUGUGCUGGGCUCUGGACAGGUGGUAAAGACACUUGUGGGGGUGAUUCUGGGGGUCCACUUGUCUGUAAUGGUGUGCUUCAAGGUAUCACAUCAUGGGGCCCUGAGCCAUGUGCCCUGCCUGAAAAGCCUGCUGUGUACACCAAGGUGGUGCAUUACCGGAAGUGGAUCAAGGACACCAUCGCAGCCAACCCCUGAGUGCCCCUGUCCCACCCCUACCUCUAGUAAAUUUAAGUCCACCUCACGUUCUGGCAUCACUUGGCCUUUCUGGAUGCUGGACACCUGAAGCUUGGAACUCACCUGGCCGAAGCUCGAGCCUCCUGAGUCCUACUGACCUGUGCUUUCUGGUGUGGAGUCCAGGGCUGCUAGGAAAAGGAAUGGGCAGACACAGGUGUAUGCCAAUGUUUCUGAAAUGGGUAUAAUUUCGUCCUCUCCUUCGGAACACUGGCUGUCUCUGAAGACUUCUCGCUCAGUUUCAGUGAGGACACACACAAAGACGUGGGUGACCAUGUUGUUUGUGGGGUGCAGAGAUGGGAGGGGUGGGGCCCACCCUGGAAGAGUGGACAGUGACACAAGGUGGACACUCUCUACAGAUCACUGAGGAUAAGCUGGAGCCACAAUGCAUGAGGCACACACACAGCAAGGAUGACGCUGUAAACAUAGCCCACGCUGUCCUGGGGGCACUGGGAAGCCUAGAUAAGGCCGUGAGCAGAAAGAAGGGGAGGAUCCUCCUAUGUUGUUGAAGGAGGGACUAGGGGGAGAAACUGAAAGCUGAUUAAUUACAGGAGGUUUGUUCAGGUCCCCCAAACCACCGUCAGAUUUGAUGAUUUCCUAGCAGGACUUACAGAAAUAAAGAGCUAUCAUGCUGUGGUUUAUUAUGGUUUGUUACAUUGAUAGGAUACAUACUGAAAUCAGCAAACAAAACAGAUGUAUAGAUUAGAGUGUGGAGAAAACAGAGGAAAACUUGCAGUUACGAAGACUGGCAACUUGGCUUUACUAAGUUUUCAGACUGGCAGGAAGUCAAACCUAUUAGGCUGAGGACCUUGUGGAGUGUAGCUGAUCCAGCUGAUAGAGGAACUAGCCAGGUGGGGGCCUUUCCCUUUGGAUGGGGGGCAUAUCUGACAGUUAUUCUCUCCAAGUGGAGACUUACGGACAGCAUAUAAUUCUCCCUGCAAGGAUGUAUGAUAAUAUGUACAAAGUAAUUCCAACUGAGGAAGCUCACCUGAUCCUUAGUGUCCAGGGUUUUUACUGGGGGUCUGUAGGACGAGUAUGGAGUACUUGAAUAAUUGACCUGAAGUCCUCAGACCUGAGGUUCCCUAGAGUUCAAACAGAUACAGCAUGGUCCAGAGUCCCAGAUGUACAAAAACAGGGAUUCAUCACAAAUCCCAUCUUUAGCAUGAAGGGUCUGGCAUGGCCCAAGGCCCCAAGUAUAUCAAGGCACUUGGGCAGAACAUGCCAAGGAAUCAAAUGUCAUCUCCCAGGAGUUAUUCAAGGGUGAGCCCUUUACUUGGGAUGUACAGGCUUUGAGCAGUGCAGGGCUGCUGAGUCAACCUUUUAUUGUACAGGGGAUGAGGGAAAGGGAGAGGAUGAGGAAGCCCCCCUGGGGAUUUGGUUUGGUCUUGUGAUCAGGUGGUCUAUGGGGCUAUCCCUACAAAGAAGAAUCCAGAAAUAGGGGCACAUUGAGGAAUGAUACUGAGCCCAAAGAGCAUUCAAUCAUUGUUUUAUUUGCCUUCUUUUCACACCAUUGGUGAGGGAGGGAUUACCACCCUGGGGUUAUGAAGAUGGUUGAACACCCCACACAUAGCACCGGAGAUAUGAGAUCAACAGUUUCUUAGCCAUAGAGAUUCACAGCCCAGAGCAGGAGGACGCUGCACACCAUGCAGGAUGACAUGGGGGAUGCGCUCGGGAUUGGUGUGAAGAAGCAAGGACUGUUAGAGGCAGGCUUUAUAGUAACAAGACGGUGGGGCAAACUCUGAUUUCCGUGGGGGAAUGUCAUGGUCUUGCUUUACUAAGUUUUGAGACUGGCAGGUAGUGAAACUCAUUAGGCUGAGAACCUUGUGGAAUGCAGCUGACCCAGCUGAUAGAGGAAGUAGCCAGGUGGGAGCCUUUCCCAGUGGGUGUGGGACAUAUCUGGCAAGAUUUUGUGGCACUCCUGGUUACAGAUACUGGGGCAGCAAAUAAAACUGAAUCUUGUUUUCAGACCUUA